UAGGGCUAGCCUCAAGUGAUGAUUAUUGGAGGUAGAGCACUGUUUGGACGAGGGGCCCCUCUCGGGUUACCGAAUUCAGACAAACUCCGAAUGCCAAUUAAUUUAACUUGGGAGUCAGAACAUGGGUGAUAAGGUCCGUGUUCGAAAGGGAAACAGCCCAGACCACCAGCUAAGGUCCCAAAAUAUAUGUUAAGUGGAAAAGGAUGUGGCGUUGCCCAGACAACUAGGAUGUUGGCUUAGAAGCAGCCAUCAUUUAAAGAGUGCGUAAUAGCUCACUAGUCGAGUGACACUGCGCCGAAAAUGUACCGGGGCUAAACAUAUUACCGAAGCUGUGGAUUGUCCUUUGGACAAUGGUAGGAGAGCGUUCUAAGGGCGUCGAAGCAUGAUCGCAAGGACAUGUGGAGCGCUUAGAAGUGAGAAUGCCGGUGUGAGUAGCGAAAGACGGGUGAGAAUCCCGUCCACCGAUUGACUAAGGUUUCCAGAGGAAGGCUCGUCCGCUCUGGGUUAGUCGGGUCCUAAGCUGAGGCCGACAGGCGUAGGCGAUGGAUAACAGGUUGAUAUUCCUGUACCACCUAGUAUCGUUUUAAUCGAUGGGGGGACGCAGUAGGAUAGGCGAAGCGUGCUGUUGGAGUGCACGUCCAAGCAGUAAGGCUGAGUGUUAGGCCAAUACGGCAC
rnacentral:rRNA from 1 species